rnacentral:rRNA from 1 species
AGAGUUUGAUCCUGGCUCAGAACGAACGCUGACGGCGGGGUUUAGGCAUGCAAGUCGCACGAGAAAGCCGCAAGGUGAGUACAGUGGCGUAAGGGCGAGUAAUGGUUCGUCAACGUACCGAGCAGACGUGAAUAAUUUCCCGAAAGGGAUUGUAAUGCACGAUGAGACCACGGGGUGUACGCACUCUGGGGUCAAAGGUCGGGGACCCUUCGGGACCCGGCGCUGUUUGAACGGACGAACUCUGAUUAGCUAGUUGGCGGGGUAACGGCCCACCAAGGCGAUGAUCAGUAGCCGGGCUGAGAGGCUGUCCGGCCACACGGGCACUGAGAUACUGGCCCGACUCCUACGGGAGGCUGCAGUCGCGAAUUUUUCACAAUGGGCGCAAGCCUGAUGAAGCCACGCCGCGUGCGGGAUGAAGGCCCUCUGGGUUGUAAACCGCUGUCGAGGGAGGGGAACCGCUGGAUGUGAAUAGCAUCCAGUCUGACUGCUCUCUGAAGGAAGCCCCGGCAAAACAUGUGCCAGCAGCCGCGGUAAUACAUGUGGGGCAAGCGUUGUUCGGAAUUACUGGGCAUAAAGGGUGCGUAGGUGGUUUGUUAAGUCAGGGGUGAAAUCCCGCGGCCCAACCGUGGAACUGCCCUUGAUACUGGCGAACUUGAGUGCGUGAGGGGUAGGGGGAACGAGCAGUGUAGCGGUGAAAUGCGUAGAUAUUGCUCGGAAGGCCAGAGCCGAAGGGGCCCUACUGGUGCGCAACUGACACUGAGGCACGAAAGCGUGGGGAGCAAACAGGAUUAGAUACCCUGGUAGUCC